GAAACUUUUGCAAGAGGGUCUGCAAGACAAAUGCAACAUGUGCCGCCCUACGUGCACAGAUAUCGAAUUUAGGAUGACUACAAGUUUUAUGCCAAUCCGGGAAGACAUUCCUCUUUGGGAGUACACUAACAAAACCAAUGCCUCAUGGUCAGUUUUUGUAGAAGAAAUUUAAACAAUGCAAUUUAAUUUUAACGAUUUUUUCAGGGUAAAUAAAAAUGUAUCAAUCCUUCACGUUCAUUACUUAACGGACUCCACAUACCCAAAACAAAGAAAAGAGUUGUACGGAUUUAUCGACUUGCUUUCAAAUACUGGUGGACUUCUCGGGCUAUGUAUGGGGUUUAGUGUUCUCAGCAUCUUGGAGAUAAUUUACUUUGUCACUCUCCGCCUUUACUGCCAGUCACGGUCAGGAAGAAGAAUGGGACACAGAAUGACCGAAGGAGCAAAGCAAUCGUGGUGGAGAU